AUUGAACGCUGGCGGCAUGCCUUACACAUGCAAGUCGAACGGCAGCACGGGAGCAAUCCUGGUGGCGAGUGGCGAACGGGUGAGUAAUAUAUCGGAACGUGCCCGGUCGUGGGGGAUAACGUAGCGAAAGCUACGCUAAUACCGCAUACGAUCUACGGAUGAAAGCGGGGGGAUCGCAAGACCUCGCGCGAUUGGAGCGGCCGAUAUCAGAUUAGGUAGUUGGUGAGGUAAAGGCUCACCAAGCCGACGAUCUGUAGCUGGUCUGAGAGGACGACCAGCCACACUGGGACUGAGACACGGCCCAGACUCCUACGGGAGGCAGCAGUGGGGAAUUUUGGACAAUGGGCGCAAGCCUGAUCCAGCAAUGCCGCGUGCAGGAUGAAGGCCUUCGGGUU
rnacentral:rRNA from 1 species